rnacentral:rRNA from 1 species
CAAUAGCGUAUAUUAAAGUUGUUGCGGUUAAAAAGCUCGUAGUUGGAUUUCUGCUGAGAACGACCGGUCCGCCCUUUGGGUGUGUAUCUGGCUCUUUCUUGGCAUCUUCUUGGUGAACGUUGCUGCACUUGACUGUGUGGAGCGCUACCCAGGACUUUUACUUUGAGGAAAUUAGAGUGUUUCAAGCAGGCAUACGCCUUGAAUACAUUAGCAUGGAAUAAUAAGAUAGGACUUUGGUCUAUUUUGUUGGUUUGCAGACCGAAGUAAUGAUUAAUAGGGAUAGUUGGGGGUAUUUAUAUUCCGAUGUCAGAGGUGAAAUUCUUAGAUUUUCGGAAGAUAAACUUAUGCGAAAGCAUUUACCAAGGAUGUUUUCAUUAA